GAAGAAAAUCCAGAGGAAGAAGGGGAAGGGAGCUGGUGCUGCCUAAAAUUUUGUAAUCUGAAUCUAAUAUUCAGAUUUUAUUCCCAACUUAUUAUUUCCCUUAUAUUUGGACAAUGUAAUUUUUAUGAGAUGAGCAACUAAGCUUUUAUUACCUACUAGUUUUAUUGUUGAAUUCAUAGAAUAGUUAACCAGUUGUGUUUUAAACGAACCUAUUUUAUGGUAAUUUAUACAAUUUAUCAUAUAUGUUCUUUCUGUAAUCUAUUCACAUUUCACUCAUUCAAAGGUUCACAAUUCUUUCAUGAACAAAAUCACAUUAAUGAACAGUCAAAAGUCGCCAUUUAUUAAGUAUUUGGAUUUAAAAUAUAACCUUGCUUUCAAUGCCGAAACCACAGUAAUAUUCACAGCAUUGCUGAAUCAACCAUCAAGAGAUUUUAUCAGUUUACCUUAUUGGCAUUUGAACAUAGAACUCUUACGACAGAAGUGAACAAUAGGCAUUAAAGAAGUUCCACCGACACGGUAACAGACUGAGAAGCAAGCCAGCAACCAUGGUUCUACUUCUAGCCAUUGCUACGUUUCUUUCUCAAUCGUUCUUUGACAAAAUCAUUUCGAGCUUUGAUGCGUGCUUGUUGAGGAGCAACGUAGACGUAGGAGAGAUGUAAGCCAACAGCAAAGAGGGCUGCUCCAGCAACGAAGCAUCCUACUGUCAUUGCCAAUUUCUUUGGUGUUGAUGGAUAGCACAACACCAUUUCUCUGCAACUCAAAUCCUGCGAAAAGUAGAAGUGAACUCGUCCGUAGUUCUGUUUCUACAUAGAGAGAUUACAAAUUUAGAUCAAUAGAUGCACAAAGUAUUUGUUUGUGAUAGGAAAAUCCAAUUAAAACUCAAGAAUUUGCCAAGGAAGAAGUGCAGUUAUCAGCGGCAAUUCAGCAUACACGAAACAUGCAUUCUUCACACAAUGUCAAUUAUGUCAACAGGAGAUCAAAUUAAGCUAGAAACGUUACAUGAAUUGAGCAGCUAAAACUGAUACCUAAACCAGCUCUGCCUCGAGGGAAUAAGAGCACCAAAUUGAGCGGGCUUGUUAAUGGAUAGAUAGAUGUUUAUGAUGGGCGUUUGCGCUCCUUCCACGAACGAUAUGCAG
rnacentral:misc_RNA from 1 species